rnacentral:rRNA from 1 species
AGUGAACGCUGGCGGUAGGCCUAACACAUGCAAGUCGAACGGCAGCACAGUAAGAGCUUGCUCUUACGGGUGGCGAGUGGCGGACGGGUGAGGAAUACAUCGGAAUCUACUUUUUCGUGGGGGAUAACGUAGGGAAACUUACGCUAAUACCGCAUACGACCUACGGGUGAAAGCAGGGGAUCUUCGGACCUUGCGCGAUUGAAUGAGCCGAUGUCGGAUUAGCUAGUUGGCGGGGUAAAGGCCCACCAAGGCGACGGUCCGUAGCUGGUCUGAGAGGAUGAACCGCCACAGUGGAGGUGAAACGCGGACCAGCCUCCGACGGGAGGCACCGGUGGGUAAUGUUGGAAGAUGGGGGCAAGCCUGCCCCAGCCAUACCGGGUGGGUGAAGAAGCCCCGCGGGUGGUAAGCCCUUUUUGUGGGAAAAAAAAGCCAGCAGGUUAACACCCGCUUUUUGUGACGGUACCUAAAGAAAAAGCACCGGCUAACUUCGUG